rnacentral:rRNA from 1 species
AACGAACGCUGGCGGCGUGCUUAACACAUGCAAGUCGAACGCGAAAGGGACUUCGGUCCUGAGUAAAGUGGCGCACGGGUGAGUAACGCGUAGAUAACCUGUCUUCAUGUCUGGAAUAAUACGCCGAAAGGGGUACUAAUACCGGAUAUUCUUGCUUUUCAUAAGUUAUGCAAGCAAAGGUGGCCUCUGCAUAUGCUACUGCAUGGAGAGGGGUCUGCGUACCAUUAGCUAGUAGGUGGGGUAAUGGCCUACCUAGGCGACGAUGGUUAGCGGGUCUGAGAGGAUGAUCCGCCACACUGGCACUGGAACACGGGCCAGACUCCUACGGGAGGCAGCAGUGAGGAAUAUUGCGCAAUGGGGGAAACCCUGACGCAGCGACGCCGCGUGAGUGAGGAAAGGCCUUCGGGUCGUAAAGCUCUGUCAAGAGGAAAGAAGUGUACAAUGGCUAAUACCUGUUGUAUUUGACGGUACCUCUAAAGGAAGCACCGGCUAACUCCGUGCCAGCAGCAGC